CUGAGCAGGCCCUCAAUCCCUCUGUUACUGUGUCACUAUACCCCACUCCCUCUAACAUGUAAACUCACUGAGCAGGGCCCUCAAUCCCUCUGUUACUGUGUCACUAUACCCCACUCCCUCUAACAUGUAAACUCACUGAGCAGGCCCUCAAUCCCUCUGUUACUGUGUCACUAUACCCCACUCCCUCUAACAUGUAAACUCACUGAGCAGGGCCCUCAAUCCCUCUGUUACUGUCACUAUACCCCACUCCCUCUAACAUGUAAACUCACUGAGCAGGGCCCUCAAUCCCUCUGUUACUGUCACUAUACCCCAC